GCAGGGAAUCUUGCACAAUGGGCGAAAGCCUGAUGCAGCAACGCCGCGUGUGGGAUGAAUGCCUUCGGGUUGUAAACCGCUUUCAGGAGGGACGAAGCGAAAGUGACGGUACCUUCAGAAGAAGCCCCGGCCAACUACGUGCCAGCAGCCGCGGUAAUACGUAGGGGGCGAACGUUGUCCGGAUUUAUUGGGCGUAAAGAGCUCGUAGGCGGCUCAGCAAGUCGGCCGUGAAAACCCGGGGCUCAACCCCGGGACGCCGGUCGAAACUGCUGUGGCUAGGGUUCGGUAGAGGAGAGUGGAAUUCCCGGUGUAGCGGUGAAAUGCGCAGAUAUCGGGAGGAACACCAGUAGCGAAGGCGGCUCUCUGGGCCGAUACCGACGCUGAGGAGCGAAAGCUAGGGGAGCAAACAGGAUUAGAAACCCGAGUAGUCC
rnacentral:rRNA from 1 species